GGGGUGUAGGGUGUAUUCUGCUACCACCAUGUUGGAUACAAGUUCAUGUUCCCCCAGUGGUCUUCGUUGACAUCUGAGGGGAGCUCCUCAUUGCUGCUAGAUCUGUUCUAUCAACGCUGGGAGACACAACAUGGCAAGACAGCAGAUUAUUGCACAGAAGGGACUGACUUCUGUAUACAGGACACAGAAAUAUUUCUCUCCAUCCCUUUACAUUGAGCCUCUCGGUGUCAUUGCAUAUCAGAUGGGUCUCUUCAAGACAGCAUACAGUUUGGUCUUGUUCCUUUAUCCAACGUGCCACUCUGUGCUUUUUAGCUGGGACAUUUAGCCAACUUACAUUUAAGCUCUUGUAUCAUUUUACUGGAUUCCUUCAAUUCCUUAAAUUGGGUUUCAACUUUCUCCUGAGUCUUGAUGAUCUUUGUUGCCAUCGAGAUUCAGAAUUCUAUGUCUGUUAUUCCAGGAGCUAAUGUGAUCAUUUGGAGAUGAAUGGAGAGGACUCCAGACCGAGAGGCCAAGUGUACUGGAUGCACGGAGCCUGGAUUUCUGAACAACUGCAUGGCAAGCACUUCCUGAAGGUGCACCUAACAAGGAAUACUGUGGUAGGUUGUGGACUGAAGGAGAAAGAAAUUUUAACUGUGUUAAGUCAUUGAAAUAGGAGUUUUUUGCCUAACCUUACGCAUCCAGUGAUUUAUUUAAUGGGUUAGACUAAGCAGUCGCUUCUUGGCUCCUGUUGUCAGGGCUUCUUACUCUCUAAAGGAAUGUAUUUCUUCAAAAUGUUAAGCAGUCUGUGGUUCUUACAUUGCAAGAAAAAGCAAAAAUGACAAUGCCCAGCAUGCUCCGCAAAUGAUUUUAUAUAUUAGGUUCCAGGCUUAAAGGGUCUGAGUUGAUGUUUGGGUUCCCUGGCUAGGCUAAUAAUUUAGGGACGUUUCAGAUAGUUACUCUUUAAGUCUUUGUUAAAUAUUGUAUAUCAGAGGUGAUGAGAAAUCAUUUUUAUUAAUAAAAUUAGAAUUCCUCUUCCUUGAAGCUUAUAAUAAAGGAUUUAUUGUAUGCACUGAAUACAGUGUAAGUAUUAUUAUUUAUUUUUUUUAUUUUUGUUUUUAUUUUUUUUGAGACGGAGUCUUGCUCU
rnacentral:lncRNA from 1 species